AUGGAUCAAAACCAGUCCCGUCAUGCACAAUAUCUCCCGACUUCUCCACCGGCUGUGAUAACUACAUUGUACACCAGGUUUUUCUGGUUGGAACCGUCUAUUCUUGCGGUAUCAGCGGUGGUCUGGAUGGAUCAAAACCAGUCCCGUCAUGCACAAUAUCUCCCGACUUCUCCACCGGCUGUGAUAACUACAUCGUACACCAGGUUUUUCUGGUUGGAACUGUGUAUUCUUGCGGUAUCAGC